ACCUACUACACGACUGUUGAGGCCAACUCGUCCACAGGGACAGUGUUGGUAUCCUCGGAUGGUGUCACUGUAGUAUCCUCUCAGAUAGAACCAGACAUUCAGAUUGUGGAUGGUCUCAACUGCUUCAGUGAAGGUGAAAAUCAGCGAACACUGAACACUAGCCAAGAUAACAGCCUCUGUGAUUUGGAAUACCAAUCAUC